rnacentral:rRNA from 1 species
UCCAGACUCCUACGGGAGGCAGCAGUGAGGAAUAUUGGUCAAUGGACGAGAGUCUGAACCAGCCAAGUAGCGUGAAGGAUGACUGCCCUACGGGUUGUAAACUUCUUUUAUAUGGGAAUAAAAUGUUCCACGUGUGGGAUUUUGUAUGUACCAUAUGAAUAAGGAUCGGCUAACUCCGUGCCAGCAGCCGCGGUAAUACGGAGGAUCCGAGCGUUAUCCGGAUUUAUUGGGUUUAAAGGGAGCGUAGGUGGAUUGUUAAGUCAGUGGUGAAAGUUUGCGGCCCAACCGUAAAAUUGCAGUUGAAACUGACAGUCUUGAGUACAGUAGAGGUGGGCGGAAUUCGUGGUGUAGCGGUGAAAUGCUUAGAUAUCACGAAGAACUCCGAUUGCGAAGGCAGCUCACUGGACUGCAACUGACACUGAGGCUCGAAAGUGUGGGUAUCGAACAGGAUUAGAUACCCCAGUACCA